rnacentral:rRNA from 1 species
GUUCCUACGGGGGGCAGCAGUAGGGAAUCUUCCACAAUGGGCGAAAGCCUGAUGGAGCAACGCCGCGUGGGUGAAGAAGGUCUUCGGAACGUAAAACCCUGUUGUUAGAGAAGAAAGUGCGUGAGAGUAACUGUUCACGUUUCGACGGUAUCUAACCAGAAAGCCACGGCUAACUACGUGCCAGCAGCCGCGGUAAUACGGAGGAUGCGAGCGUUAUCCGGAUUUAUUGGGUUUAAAAGGGGCGUAGGCGGGCUUUU